rnacentral:rRNA from 1 species
GGAACAAGUUCUGAGGGUACCAUGAGAAUAAGCACCUGCUAACUACGUGCCAGAAGCAUCGGUGAUACGUAGGGUGCAAGCGUUAUCCGGAAUUACUGGGCAUAAAGAGAUGCGUAGGCGUUUUAAUAAGUCUUUCGUCAAAUCCUGCGGCUUAACUGCAGAAAGGCGAGGGAAACUAUUCAAAUAGAGGCAGAGAGAGGUAGAUGGAACUUCUGGUGGAGCGGUGAAAUGCGUUGAUAUCAGAAAGAACACCAAGUGCGAAGGGCAGUCUACUGGCUCUGUUCUGACGCUAAGGCUCGAAAGCGUGGGGAGCGAAACGGAUUAGAUACCCGUGUAGUCCACGCCGUAAACGAUGGAUAUUAGAUGCUUGAUUCAGUGUUUAGCUCCGGCUGAGUGCUGAGUUGAGUGUUGCAGCUAACGCAGUAAAUAUCCCGCCUGGGGAGUACGACCGCAAGGUUAAAACUCAAAGGAAUUGACGGGGACCCGCACAAGCGGUGGAGCGUGUGGUUUAAUCCGAUGAUAAGCGUAGUACCUCACCAGGGUUUGAAAUGUAUCUGCAAGCUUUCCGAAAGGUUAGCCUCCUUCGAGGGUGAUACACAGGUGCUGCAUGGCUGUCGUCAGCUCGUGUCGUGAGAUGUUGGGUUAAGUCCCUUAACGAGCGCAACCCCUAUCCAAUGUUAUAUUGUCUCUGGAGACCGCCCUGCUUAAACGGGGAGGAAGGCGGGGAUGACGUCCAGUCGUCAUAGCCCUUAUGUCCUGGGCAACACACGCGCUACAAUGGUCAGCACAGAAGGUAGCCAAACGGUAACGUGGAGCCAAUCCUCAAAACUGAUCGCAGUUCGGAUUGUGGGCUGAAACUCGCCCACAUGA